CAGGGUUUGAGACCUAACGGUGUACACA
rnacentral:piRNA from 1 species